UAUGGUCAUAUCACAUUGAAAUACCAGUUCAUGUAUGAUCACUGAAGUUAAGCAACAUCGAGCUAGUUCAGCACCUAGAUGGGUGACCACUUGGGAAUACUAGGUACA